AGGAGAUUCUGUACGUCGUGCAUUUCCCAUGGAAAGAAGCUGCAUGACCCCUCUGGAGGAUGCAGGAAAAAAAAAGGUCAACAUGGCUGGCAAAGGGCCCCCUCCUUUCCCAGGACGUCCCCGGAUGCCCUACCCCAAGCAGGGCCAUUUUUCAUCAUAUAUGCGUCCUGGGCCACUGCCGCCAAAUUCACCACCACCCUGUCCACCACAAGAACUACCUGUGUGACAUCCAGAGGACCCUGAGCGUCUGUAAACCACAGUUGUAGCUGAAUAUUGGAAAAGGUGUCACAGGCACAUGUCCCUGCCUGAUCCUACCCCUUCCCUGUUUUAACUUUCCUUUGAUGUUUUCCCGAAUAA